GAUGAACGCUGGCGGCGUGCCUAAUACAUGCAAGUCGAGCGAACAGACGAGGAGCUUGCUCUUCUGACGUUAGCGGCGGACGGGUGAGUAACACGUGGAUAACCUACCUAUAAGACUGGGAUAACUUCGGGAAACCGGAGCUAAUACUGGAUAAUAUAUUGAACCGCAUGGUUCAAUAGUGAAAGACGGUUUUGCUGUCACUUAUAGAUGGAUCCGCGCCGCAUUAGCUAGUUGGUAAGGUAACGGCUUACCAAGGCAACGAUGCGUAGCCGACCUGAGAGGGUGAUCGGCCACACUGGAACUGAGACACGGUCCAGACUCCUACGGGAGGCAGCAGUAGGGAAUCUUCCGCAAUGGGCGAAAGCCUGACGGAGCAACGCCGCGUGAGUGAUGAAGGUCUUCGGAUCGUAAAACUCUGUUAUUAGGGAAGAACAAAUGUGUAAGUAACUAUGCACGUCUUGACGGUACCUAAUCAGAAAGCCACGGCUAACUACGUG
rnacentral:rRNA from 1 species